rnacentral:tRNA from 1 species
GGUCGGUUAGCUCAGUUGGUUAGAGCGUGGUGCUAAUAUCUCCAUCUCACGGUGACUUUGCGGUCAGCAUGAGAGAUUGAAAUAGGCACGCCAAGGUCGCGGGUUCGACCCCCGUACUGACCA